GGGGGUAUAGCUUAGCGGUAGAGCAUUUGACUGCAGAUCAAGAGGUCCCCGGUUCAAAUCCGGGUGCCCCCU
rnacentral:tRNA from 2 species